rnacentral:rRNA from 1 species
AGUGAACGCUGGCGGUAGGCCUAACACAUGCAAGUCGAACGGCAGCACAGUAAGAGCUUGCUCUUACGGGUGGCGAGUGGCGGACGGGUGAGAAAUACAUCGGAAUCUACUUUUUCGUGGGGGAUAACGUGGGGAAACUUACGCUAAUACCGCAUACGACCUACGGGUGAAAGCAGGGGAUCUUCGGACCUUGCGCGAUUGAAUGAGCCGAUGCCGGAUUAGCUAGUUGGCGGGGUAAAGGCCCACCAAGGCGACGAUCCGUAGCUGGUCUGAGAGGAUGAUCAGCCACACUGGAACUGAGACACGGUCCAGACUCCUACGGGAGGCAGCAGUGGGGAAUAUUGGACAAUGGGCGCAAGCCUGAUCCAGCCAUACCGCGUGGGUGAAGAAGGCCUUCGGGUUGUAAAGCCCUUUUGUUGGGAAAGAAAAGCAGCAGGUUAAUACCCCGCUGUUCUGACGGUACCCAAAGAAUAAGCACCGGCUAACUUCGUG